GAGGCAGGAAGGGAAGAGGAGGUGGGUCUUAGAAGUGAUUGAUAAACCAGUAGGUUAUGAUAAGGCCAAUAGAUGGUCAGGAUAAUCCAGCUUGGAUCAUGAAGGUCAGACAAGUUCACCAAUCCGAGAGGAGGUGAUAGAUCCGCCACCUCUCCCCAACCCUCCAGGUCAGCGCAGUCCGGGAGGACCCCAUGGGUGGGCAAGAGCUCAGAAGAAGGCCUGCCCCCCUUCCCACCCCUACACCCCAGGUCUCCGUCCCUCAAGCCAGGAGACUCUUAACUGUCUUUGCUGUUUAUAUAUAUAUAUAUUAUAUAUAAAUAUCUAUUUAUCUGUCUGAGCCCUGCCCCCACCCACUCCCCUCUUGCAUUAGGGGCCUGAUCUUGAGUGGGCCCCUCUCUAACCCCUACCCCUUCCCCUGCACCCCUUGGCCCUUCUCUGUUCCCUGGCCCUGGGCCCGGAGGUUGAGGGGCUCUGAAAGGGAGACAGUGAGGAGACAGACCUCGGUUGUGUGGGGAGGGUAAGAGUGACUUCAGACCCUCUCCCCUUCUCCUUCCCCUCCUCCCACUCUGGCCUUGAUUCCUCCAGCAAUGCCUGAACAGGGGCCAUUAAGGGAAAUUCAACCCUGAAGCGGGGAGAAAGGCAGAGACUGGGGGUGCUUGGGACCCAAGGUGGUCUUAGAGAGGAGCUGGAGUCAAGGGGACUAGUAACCAGAGGGGUUAGGUUCCACACGUACCUGAUCUGGAGCCUAAAGAAGAGGGGUGCCCUAGAGCAUUUCGGAUUGAGCUGGGAAGGAGGUUGAGGGCGUGGUUCUAGAAGGGGCGGAACUUUGAGUGAGGCUGCACGUGGGCCCCAGAGUGGGCACGGCUGGGAGUAGGAGAAGGUUCUACAAAAGGGGUGUGACAAGGAGCCUGGGGACAGGGUCUGGAAGAACAUAGAGGGCUGGUUCUAGAAGGGGUGGGGCUUUAACCAGGGAAUGGGUAAGGCUCCACAGUGGGCGGGUCUUGGAUUGCGGCUAGAGUCUAUGGAAGGGGUGGGGCUGGAACAUUCUGGAAUGCCCCGUCCCAUAGGGCAGUGAAGAAAACAUGUUUGAGAGUGGGCGGGUUUGGCAGUGUGGUGGGAGGAGGCUUGCCUGGGGGCUGCGGGAUGGGUUUUGUUGGGGGGGGAAGUAGUAUCUCUGGCUAAGGCUGGGGACUCAGGUGCCCUGGGAAGAGCAGAGAGGUAUGGCUUGGAGGGUAAGGGGUGAGAUCCAGAGAGAAGUCCCCCCCCCCCCACACACACACCCUUGCUCAUCCCUGCGGCGGAACAGCUAGGUAAUCAGAGGACAGAGUCAAGGGAUCUGUGGGGCCGACCCACCCCCUCCACCCUCCUUCCCCUGCCUCCUCCCUCCCUCCACACCCCAACCCGUCCCGGGGUGGCUGGAGACCCGGUCUGGAGCCCCUGUCCUGCACCCUCUGCUGUGUCUGUGACGUCGGUAGUGCCUGUGAUCGUGUGUUGCCAUUUUGUCUGGCUGUGGCCCCUCCCCCUCUCCUCCAGACUACCCCCCCCUUUCCCGCGCCCUUCUAUUGUUUGUAGACUCCCUCCCCGAGGAAGAACAAAUACGAUUAAUUCUCC
ensembl:lncRNA